GUAUACGGCCAUACCAUCCUGAACAUACCUGAUCUCAUCUGAUCUUGGAAGCUAAGCAGAUUCGGGCCUGGUUAGUACUUGGAGGGGAGAAAGGCAAUCAAACAAGACAAUCAAAGAAGCUGAUGAUA
rnacentral:rRNA from 1 species